CUGGAUGAAGGCUUCUACUCACAGCCCUUUCAAGCCAUUCGCGAAAGAUUUCAUGCGGCUUAGCCAAUUUGGCCGCACUACAAAGGGGAUGCAUGCAUGCGCCGAUGCUUUACAAGAAAAAGAAAAAAACCAUUGAAUCGUCGAGAAAGGUUCAUGAUUCUCAACUAGCAUGCCAUCUCAUGAACAAUGACAUAUAUAAAAAACAUUACGGUCGUCCAUGGUUUUCCAUCAGGAUAUCAAAUAUCAGCCAAAACACAAAUGGGAUAGCAAAGUAAUGCAAAACCAAAUUGCACGGAGAGAAUUGCAAUAGAGAGAUCCCACGCUCCCCCUUUCACUCCUCGUGCGUAACCGCCAUGUCCAAAACCUCCACCCUGCCCUUCCCCUUCGUCUCGCCUCCCACGAACUCACUCAGCCCCUUAAACGCGCCGGGCUCUGCAAAUCCAAUAACUUCCCAUUCCUCCACAUUCAGCACAUCUUGCACCUCGACCUGCUCGAAGUAGCUUAGGAUGCGAUCUUUGACAGUUCCAGAUGCCUUUGGCGCCGCAGCCUCAUGCAUCCCGUCAUCGUCAUCGUCGUCGCCUUGAGCAUGAGAAUUGGAACGGGAACGAGACUUUUUGCCCUUCUUAUGCCCACCUUUCGUCGGGGACGAACUGUGGUUCCCACCACCGCCACCAGAGCCAGGCGCAGAUUUCACCGCCUGUUUAAGAAUCGAUGUGGGGCAUGUGAUCCGCAGACGCAUCCGGGCACGCAUGACGGGGAUCGGUUGCCAGGCGAUCAGCGCCCUCAUAGCAUCCAGAGCCUGCGUCUUGGCGGAUUUUUUCGUUACAACACCGGUCCACAUCGGCUUUUUGGACGCUGUCUCGUCUUCCUGCGCAGCAGCAGUAGCAGCGGGCUCCUCGGCAGCAGGCACCGCAGCAUCAGGUGUAUCAACGGUCUCGGCAGCUUUGCCCUUUGCUGCUGCAGUGGCAGCACCGCCUUGCUGCCCGCUCGCUGCACUUAACUGAUCGAGCGCCUUCGAAAUCAUGCCGGUAGUGUAAACCCGCUUCGACACAGGGUCGACCAGCCUCGCACUGACGAUCUCGAUGACCUCCUUUUCAAUCCGUUCGAGGAUAUCUCUCCGCUCACGCUCGCCAACCUGCACCUCACCCUUGCGCAGAAUUUCCUGGAUUAUUUCAUCGCUGGACACCUUGGGGCCGAACGCCUUGGCUAGCUCUGCAGCGGGGGCUGUCUGGGCCUUGGAGACGGAGAGGAAGACCGUGGGGAUCUGAAGGACGUUGUCCAGGUCUGUUUCAGUGCCCGAGCGGUAUUCGAGGAGCUUGUUCUUGUAGCAAGCUAGCUCGAAGCGUUUCUUGCCUGGAGACAGUUUGUGGUUAGAUUUAAAGGAAAAAAGAUGAAGAAGAAGAAAAAUGAUUAGGGGAAACCUUUCUUCAACCGGACGAUAGAGACAUUCGUAAAUUUAAUCUGGUUUGAGGGCUGGUUUAUGCCUACAGGCAUUUUGAACGAGGUGAGGGGUAGUUCACGAGUCGUACGUUGUUUCGAGAGGGCGGGCCCUGUUUGAACGCUGAAGUAUCGAUGUAGGGGAUUCUAUACAGAGCGGCGACAACGAGUAUAAUGACUGGAGGGGUAUCUAUCGAGUCGAUAAAAGAAAAUAGUCCACAUGAAAUCGAAUACUGUCUUCAAUAUCAAAAACACUGAAUGGAGGGGAAAACGGAAUGCAAACAGAACAAACAUGAACUUGCUCGCGCUCAACCUAUCCUGGUGAUCUCGAAUCUAUCACCAAUACAGAGAACUAAUAGCCCAGUGUUCAAAAUAUCAGAUCUAGGUGACCGUGUUUAGAUUUGAAAGAUUCAGCGGCAUAUGUUAUCAGAUGCCCAGUAACGGAUUCGAACGGAUUUUAAGCCAAAUGAACGUUAUUGGACUAGACUUUCCGCUUCGCAUGUGUGUCUUGAUGAGGAAAACAGGGACUGCCACCCCAUAUAGAGGUAAUACUUUCAUCUACUCUGGAUGCUCGUUUCAUUCCAUUAUGUGAAUCUUUUGAAAGUCAUGCUUGUGAGAAUUGCCCAGUUCACCUCCACAGUACGGAUAAAUCGACAAACCAUUCGGCACCCUUUCAUGAACAGUGAGUCCAUUGGCGGGAAUGGGCCGUGUGGAAGGCUACAAGUUAUGGGUGAUGGUCGCAAUGUGUAACUACAUAGGACAGAGGUUUCUACACCCUAUGCAGAUGGGUGCUACGGAUCUCCAUGUUGGAACCUGUCAAGUCAAUAUUGUUAAGCAUUACUGCAGGGUCGUGUUUAUUUCAAUGGCCUUCUUUCAAAACUGUCCUGCCCAACAUUUAUUUCAUGAUUGAAACGUGCAAGGAUUCUUCUCUCUGGCAAGGGGAUUUAGCAGGUGUUCUUAGAGUUUUAUCAUUUAUCAUUGAAACUA
rnacentral:sRNA from 2 species